AGCUCCAAUAGCGUAUAUUAAAGUUGUUGCAGUUAGAACGCUCGUAGUCGGAUUUCGGGUCGGGCCGACCGGUCUGCCGAUGGGUACGCACUGGUCGGCGCGUCCUUCCUCUCGGAGACUGUUCCUACUCUUAACUGAGCGGGAGCAGGAUACGGGACUUUUACUUUGAAAAAAUCAGAGUGUUUCAAGCAGGCAGCUCGCUCUUGCAUGGAUUAGCAUGGGAUAAUGAAAUAGGACUUUGGUGCUAUUUUGUUGGUUUCGAACACCGAAGUAAUGAUGAGAAGGGACAGUCAGGGGCACUCGUAUUCCGCCGAGAGAGGUGAAAUUCUCAGACCAGCGGAAGACGAACCACUGCGAAAGCAUUUGCCAGGGAUGUUUUCA
rnacentral:rRNA from 1 species